rnacentral:pre_miRNA from 1 species
GGCGCAUACUUGAAGUAGAGUAGAUUAGUAUGGUCAGCUGAUUCUACCAAUUUACUCUAUUUUAAAUUUGGGCCC